rnacentral:tRNA from 1 species
ACAUAUGGCUUAGUCGGUCAGAGCGUUUGGUUUCCAAGAGGUGCGAGUUCAAAUCCCGUUCAAAUUUA